UGACCCUUUUAAGCCGAGGGUCACCUAGCCAACUGACGUUGUUAGUGAACCUCUUUGUUCACACAAAAUAUAGCCAAUCGCCCCUUUUUGCGGUUGGCUUUUUUUUA
rnacentral:sRNA from 1 species